rnacentral:rRNA from 1 species
AACGAACGCUGGCGGCAUGCCUAACACAUGCAAGUCGAACGAGACCUUCGGGUCUAGUGGCGCACGGGUGCGUAACGCGUGGGAACCUGCCCUUAGGUUCGGAAUAACUCCCCGAAAGGGGUGCUAAUACCGGAUAAUGUCUUCGGACCAAAGAUUUAUCGCCUCUGGAUGGGCCCGCGUUGGUUUAGCUAGUUGGUAGGGUAAAAGCCUACCAAGGCGACGAUCCAUAGCUGGUCUGAGAGGAUGAUCAGCCACACUGGGACUGAGACACGGCCCAGACUGGUACGGGGGGGAGCAGUGGGGAAUACUGGACGAGGGGCGAAAGCGUGAUACAGCCAUGCCGCGGGAGUGAUGAAGGCCUUAGUGUUGUACAGCUCUUUUACCCGGAAUGAUAAUGACGGUACCGGGAGAAUAAGCACCGGCUAACUCCGUG